rnacentral:rRNA from 1 species
UUGGAGGGCAAGUCUGGUGCCAGCAGCCGCGGUAAUUCCAGCUCCAAUAGCGUAUAUUAAAGUUGUUGCAGUUAAAAAGCUCGUAGUUGAACUUCGGGGUUUACCCAUUGGUCAGGCUUAAUUGUCUGUACUGGUGAGAUAAAUCUCUACCUUCUGAGGAACUUUCAUGCCAUUUAUUUGGUGUGAUUGGAAAUCAGGACUAUUACUUUGAAAAAUUAGAGUGUUUAAAGCAGGCUAACGUCUGAAUAUAUUAGCAUGGAAUAAUGAAAUAGGACGGCUUGGUUCUAUUUCGUUGGUUUCUAGGAUCACCGUAAUGAUUAAUAGGGAUAGUUGGGGGCAUUAGUAUUCAAUUGUCAGAGGUGAAAUUCUUGGAUUUAUUGAAGACUAACUACUGCGAAAGCAUUUGCCAAGGAUGUUUUCAUUAAUCAAGAACGAAAGUUAGGGGAUCGAAGACGAUCAGAUACCGUCGUAGUCUUAACCAUAAACUAUGCCGACUAGGGAUCGGACGAAGUUAAUUUUAUAAUGACGCGUUCGGCGCCUUACGGGAAAC